GAUGAAGAACGCAGCGAAAUGCGAUAAGUAAUGUGAAUUGCAGAAUUCAGUGAAUCAUCGAAUCUUUGAACGCACAUUGCGCCCCUUGGUAUUCCGAGGGGCAUGCCUGUUCGAGCGUCAUAUUAACCAUUCCCGCUUGCGGGGUCUUGGGCUUCGCCUCCGGGCGGGCCUUAAAAUCAGUGGCGGUGCCGUCGGGCUCUACGCGUAGUAAAUUUUCUCGCGAUAGGGUCCCGGUGGAUGCUUGCCAACAACCCCCAACUUCUUAAGGUUGACCUCGGAUCAGGUAGGGAUACCCGCUGAACUUAAGCAUAUCAAUAAGCGGAGGA
rnacentral:misc_RNA from 1 species